UACAGAGGGUGCGAGCGUUAAUCGGAAUUACUGGGCGUAAAGCGCACGUAGGCGGCUUGGUAUGUCGGGUGUGAAAUCCCCGGGCUCAACCUGGGAACUGCAUCCGAAACUGCCUUGCUAGAGUAUGGGAGAGGGAAGUGGAAUUUCCGGUGUAGCGGUGAAAUGCGUAGAUAUCGGGAGGAACACCUGUGGCGAAGGCGGCCCCCUGGUUGGAUACUGACGCUGAGACGCGAAAGCGUGGGGAGCAAACAGG
rnacentral:rRNA from 1 species